rnacentral:lncRNA from 1 species
UCAUCGGACUGAGUGGAGAGCAACUGGUUCGAUUCGGUGAACAUGAUAGCGUCGGCGUCGCACUACUCUGGGCAGCACCAGAAGCUUUGAUUACAAGCCGCGGCGGCAGAACAGGCACGGCAGCUUCGCUCGUCCCAUAUUACCACAGUACGUUGGACCUUGGUAGUUGUGGCAGCGUAAAGAGCGGGUCCUUUAACGCUUCCACUUGUCUAUUGCGGACCUUUUGGAGCAAGCGCGGUUUUUUGCCUGAAAGUUCGUGUCCGUGCUACGUGACGGCUGCAUCCUUCGAGUACACCUGCACCGCCCGCGAAAAGGCCAGCCUACAUAGUGCCACUUGGCUUUUACGUCACACUCUGGUGUCACAUCAAAGGACGCCGCGCCGCUGCGACGGACAAGGCGAUUGACACCUUGGCAGCCGAGGCAGCGUACGGAGCGGAUCCUCAACGCUUCCACUUGUCUGUUCAGGGAACUACACUUUUAGGGAGCUACAGCUUCUGCACAACCCACAGAAUCAAGCCGUCUUCUAACGGCCAAUAUGCACAGAUCUCACUCGAUGACUGCGAACACUCGCUCUCACAAAUUUGGCAUGAGGAAGAGCGCAUGCAGAGGUAAGGAAAUGCCACUCGCUUCAACACUUCUCCGAGAGAACCCGAUUUCCAAAAUUAGGGGAGCGGAUAGACAGCGCACACGAAGCGACCAGCCAUCUCAGCUCGCCCAACAUUCGCAUCCGCCGCAACCGGAUGCACAGGGCCGUCUUUGUGACAUGCCACGCAGGCUCAUCUGUUAGUAAGUAAACGCUUGCGACAUUGGUGCUGCAUGGAAUCGAGCAACCGGUGCAUGCUCU